GGCCUGAUCGCUCAACUGGUAGAGCACUGAAACCGGCAUCACAGAGGUCAGAGUUCGAAUCCCUGUUCAGGCCC
rnacentral:tRNA from 1 species